rnacentral:rRNA from 1 species
AAUAGAUACCCAGGUAGUACACGCCGUAAACGAUGAGUGCUAAGUGUUGGGGGGUUUCCGCCCCUCAGUGCUGCAGCUAACGCAUUAAGCACUCCGCCUGGGGAGUACGGUCGCAAGACUGAAACUCAAAGGAAUUGACGGGGGCCCGCACAAGCGGUGGAGCAUGUGGUUUAAUUCGAAGCAACGCGAAGAACCUUACCAGGUCUUGACAUCCCGGUGACCACUAUGGAGACAUAGUUUCCCCUUCGGGGGCAACGGUGACAGGUGGUGCAUGGUUGUCGUCAGCUCGUGUCGUGAGAUGUUGGGUUAAGUCCCGCAACGAGCGCAACCCUUAUUCUUAGUUGCCAUCAUUCAGUUGGGCACUCUAAGGAGACUGCCGGUGAUAAACCGGAGGAAGGUGGGGAUGACGUCAAAUCAUCAUGCCCCUUAUGACCUGGGCUACACACGUGCUACAAUGGACGGUACAAACGGUUGCCAACCCGCGAGGGGAGCUAAUCCGAUAAAACCGUUCUCAGUUCGGAUUGUAGGCUGCAACUCGCCUAC